UACGUAGGGUGCGAGCGUUAAUCGGAAUUACUGGGCGUAAAGUGUGCGCAGGCGGCCGCGCAAGUCGAGUGUGAAAGCCCCGGGCUUAACUUGGGAAUUGCGCUCGAAACUACGUGGCUGGAGUGCGGCAGGAGGGGGGUGGAAUUCCACGUGUAGCAGUGAAAUGCGUAGAGAUGUGGAGGAACACCGAUGGCGAGGGCAGCCCCCUGGGUCGACACUGACGCCUCAUGCACGAAGCGUGGGGAGCAAACAGG
rnacentral:rRNA from 1 species